CGCGGCCUAUCAGCUUGUUGGUGGGGUGAUGGCCUACCAAGGCGACGACGGGUAGCCGGCCUGAGAGGGCGACCGGCCACACUGGGACUGAGACACGGCCCAGACUCCUACGGGAGGCAGCAGUGGGGAAUAUUGCACAAUGGGCGGAAGCCUGAUGCAGCGACGCCGCGUGAGGGAUGACGGCCUUCGGGUUGUAAACCUCUUUCAGCAGGGACGAAGCGGAAGUGACGGUACCUGCAGAAGAAGCGCCGGCCAACUACGUGCCUGCAGCCGCGGUAAGACGUAGGGCGCGAGCGUUGUCCGGAUUUAUUGGGCGUAAAGAGCUCGUAGGCGGCUUGUCGCGUCGACUGUGAAAACCCACAGCUCAACUGUGGGCUUGCAGCCGAUACGGGCAGGCUAGAGUUCGGUAGGGGAGACUGGAAUUCCUGGUGUAGCGGUGAAAUGCGCAGAUAUCAGGAGGAACACCGGUGGCGAAGGCGGAUCUCUGGGCCUUGCCUGACGCUGAGGCGCGAAAGCUAGGGGAGCGAACAGGAUUAGAUACCCUGGUAGUCCUAGCCGUAAACGUUGGGUGCUAGGUGUGGGCGGAUAUCGACCCCGUCCGUGCCGAAGCUAACGCAUUAAGCACCCCGCCUGGGGAGUACGG
rnacentral:rRNA from 1 species